CUACGGGGGGCUGCAGUUAGGAAUAAUCUGCAAUGCGCGAAAGCGUGACAGUUUGAGCCAGAGUGCUUCCUUAUAGAAAGCUUUUGCUAAAUGUAAAAAGUUUGGCGAAUAAGGACUGGGUAAGACUAGUGCCAGCCGCCGCGGUAAUACUAGCGGUCCAAGUUGCAGCCAUCUUUAUUAGGUCUAAAACAUCCGUAGCUUGCUCAAUAAGUUUUUUGUGAAAUUUUAUGUCUUAAACAUAAAGCGAGCAAAAAGUACUGUUGAGCUAGAGACUGGGAGACGUAAAGAGUAUGUUUGAGGUAGCGGUAAAAUGUUUUAAUCUUAGACAGACUAACAAUAGCGAAGGCACUUUACGAGAACAGAUCUGACAGUAAGGGAUGAAGGCUAGGGGCGCAAAACGGAUUAGAUACCCCCGUAGUC
rnacentral:rRNA from 1 species